rnacentral:rRNA from 2 species
AAUGGGCGCAAGCCUGAUGGAGCAACACCGCGUGAGUGAAGAAGGGUUUCGGCUCGUAAAGCUCUGUUGUUGGAGAAGAACGUGCGUGAGAGUAACUGUUCACGCAGUGACGGUAUCCAACCAGAAAGUCACGGCUAACUACGUGCCAGCAGCCGCGGUAAUACGUAGGUGGCAAGCGUUAUCCGGAUUUAUUGGGCGUAAAGCGAGCGCAGGCGGUUGCUUAGGUCUGAUGUGAAAGCCUUCGGCUUAACCGAAGAAGGGCAUCGGAAACCGGGCGACUUGAGUGCAGAAGAGGACAGCGGAACUCCAUUUGUAGCGGUGGAAUGCGUAGAUAUAUGGAAGAACACCAGUGGCGAAGGCGGCUGUCUGGUCUGCAACUGACGCUGAGGCUCGAAAGCAUGGGUAGCGAACAGGAUUAGAUACCCUGGUAGUCCAUGCCGUAAACGAUGAGUGCUAGGUGUUGGAGGGUUUCCGCCCUUCAGUGCCGGAGCUAACGCAUUAAGCACUCCGCCUGGGGAGUACGACCGCAAGGUUGAAACUCAAAGGAAUUGACGGGGGCCCGCACAAGCGGUGGAGCAUGUGGUUUAAUUCGAAGCUACGCGAAGAACCUUACCAGGUCUUGACAUCUUGCGCUAACCUAAG